rnacentral:rRNA from 1 species
AGCAGCCGCGGUAAUUCCAGCUCCAAUAGCGUAUAUUAAAGUUGUUGCAGUUAAAAAGCUCGUAGUUGAAUUUCGAGAUCAAAUUGUUGGUCGUGCCUCGGUACGUACUGGCAUUAUUGAUUUCUCCUUUCUGAAGAACCUUGAUGUCAUUAAUUUGGUGUCUUGGGGAAUCAGGACCGUUACUUUGAAAAAAUUAGAGUGUUUAAAGCAGGCUCACGCUUGAAUACAUUAGCAUGGAAUAAUGAAAUAGGACGUUUGAUUCUAUUUUGCUGGUUUCUAGGAUCGACGUAAUGAUUAAUAGGGAUAGUUGGGGGCAUUAGUAUUCAAUUGUCAGAGGUGAAAUUCUUGGAUUUAUUGAAGACUAACUACUGCGAAAGCAUUUGCC